AAGGUCUCCGUUGGUGAACCAGCGGAGGGAUCAUUAAAGAGUUUAUAACUCCCCAAACCCCAUGUGAACAUACCUAACGUUGCCUCGGCGGGUCGUACCUACCCUGUAGUGCACUUACCUGUAAGUGCCUACCCGGUAGGCACGGGUAAGCCCGCCGGCGCCCCACGAAACUCUGUUUAAUUACUGGAUAUCUGAAUUAUAACUAAAUAAGUUAAAACUUUCAACAACGGAUCUCUUGGUUCUGGCAUCGAUGAAGAACGCAGCGAAAUGCGAUAAGUAAUGUGAAUUGCAGAAUUCAGUGAAUCAUCGAAUCUUUGAACGCACAUUGCGCCCAUUAGUAUUCUAGUGGGCAUGCCUGUUCGAGCGUCAUUUCAACCCUUAAGCCUUCUGUUGCUUAGCGUUGGGGGCCUACCGUAUGGCGGUAGCCCCUUAAAAUUAGUGGCGGAGUCGGUUCACACUCUAGACGUAGUAAAUAUUAUCUCGCCUAUUAGUUGGACCGGUCCCCUGCCGUAAAACCCCUUAAUUUUUCAAGGUUGACCUCGGAUCAGGUAGGAAUACCCGCUGAACUU
rnacentral:rRNA from 1 species